CACAGAUUGAAGAGAAUCUGCGCGUCAAUUUGGAAGGCUCUCCCGACGUCUUGGAUGUCAUGUUGAAUGCACUUGCAAACUGCACUCUUCCAGUCACUGUCUCGGAUGUUCCCGACUUCCGCAAGUGCCUGGCAGUCGAUUGCAUCCAGAACUUGCCAUCCGGGAACUAGGCGCCAAGGUCCCCGACUGAGCAACAGGAGGCCUCGUCGCCUCUGGACAACCUUCCGUUUUCUUUCUCCCUUUCUUUAUCGGGUGCUUUUAACUUCCUGUUUUCUUUCGUUAUUUGAGUUUGGGUAUCUUUCGUUGCGGCACUGUUGAAAAUAAAUAAUUAAAUUUAUAAAUCUU